CAAAUUAGGGAUUUUGUAUUAUAAAUAGAUAAGUUAAAGAGAAAGUGAGGGUUUGGUAAGUACGUGAAAAUUGGUUUGAAGAGACAAGAGUAGCAUUGAAAACUUAGAGAUAUGAGAGAGGGAAGAACACCAAGAAAUCCAGAUUCCUUUUGCUCCUAGGAGAACCAAGUUUCGAUGUGAAACUAUUUUGUUGAUGUUGUACAGGAAAUUAUGCGGUUGAUGUGAUACCGUUUAUAUUGUUGAGUUGUUGUGACGAUGGAUACAUUCAUUUAUGCAUCAUGAGUUAUUGUUGUGAAAAAGGUGAUUACAUGUUUUGAUGUUGGUGAUCGAUAAUUAUCACAAGCUUGAUGUUGAGGCUUGGAGCUCGGUGUGAGACUCAUGGAUUCACAGUUGAUUGAAACCCGGUUCAUAAUUGGAACCAUUGUGAAAGAGGUAACUACAAGUUUCGAUGUUGAUAACAUUUAAUUGUUGGAAACCACACCUCUCUCAAAUCCUCUUCCUCCAUCCAAGAUUUUAGUUUUCUCAAAUCUUUAGUAAUCAAUUUUCAUCUUCUCAAUGCACCCUCUAUCAAGGAGGUUAUUUGGCAACCUCUAAUCAUCAUUAUGAUUGCAUGUGGUGGCUUAUUUAGGGACAUACAUGUUGACUUCCUUGGUGUCCUUGUUGAACCAGUUGGUUCUAACUCUGCCUUCUUUACAUAGAUUUCGGAUGCUCUUCAAGCUAUUGAGCAUGCACAUCAUCUACAAUACACUAACUUGUGGUUGGAAUUUGAUUUUGUUCUUGUGGUCCUUGUUUUCAAAAACCAAGCCUUAGUUCCUUGGAGCCUAAGAAACUGGUGGUCCAAUCGCUUAGGCUAUGCUAGGAACAUGAACCUCAUAGUAUUUCACAUUUAUAGAGAAGGCAAUGCUUACACGGAUUCUCUUUCC